UUGUCUGGUUUCUCUUCAGAUCAUAUAAAUCUUUCACCUUUUACUAAAAAUUUCUAUGGAGUGGAACACUUAUAAAUGUAUAACUAUUUGUUAGGGACUCAGAGGCAGCAGAAUU
rnacentral:snRNA from 1 species